rnacentral:tRNA from 1 species
GGGGUUGUGGCUCAAUGGUAAAGCACUCGACUAGCACUUGUGAGGCCCUGGGUUAGAUCCUCAGCACCA